CAAGUAGGUAAUUUGGUGUUGAAUGCCAGUAGGUCAGAAUUUGUUAAUUGAAUUUUACCUGUAAAAGGGUCACUAGCUGUCAAAUUCAUGUUCAUCGAUUUUAAUCAAAUUCACAUAAACGUGUGGUGUUGAAUUGUUUAUUAAAAUUCCACGCACAAUCUUGGCUGAUAUGCAUAAAUUAAACCAUUAUUUCAUGAACCUGCAUGAAAUAUUGACUUAUCACAGAACUAAAAAAAAAAACCACCGAAAGUCCACAUAAGAGAGUAUAGAGAAUAACGGGCAAAGAAAAAAAAAGGAAUAAAGAAUAGUGAAAGAAAGAGAAUAAUGGUAAAAAGUGUAAGUCAUUAAAAAUAUAGCUUAAAAAAAGGAAGCCUCUUGCAUCAAUUUGAGGAAUUUUAUACCCAAGGUUAAUUUUACGGCGGCUUAUUUUAUUUUGGAUUAAAAAUAAACACAAUUGACAAGUUUCCUUCCCCUGCAUUUUCGAUCGCACAUGUAAAUAGCAAGUUGGUCUCAAAUAAGACACUGAUACAUUACAACACUUGCCGUCAGUAUUUGAAAAUAUUAAUUAAAAAGGUAUAGAAAAUUAAUUCACGCACACUAUUAUCCACCACAGGCCUAAAUCGUUAGUCCGCAAACAACGAGGGUGAUAAAAAAAA
rnacentral:lncRNA from 1 species